AAUGAACAGAACCAAGUUUUGUCUUAAAGGGCAAAAGAAGGGAAAAGGACCAUGACUGUGUCACGGAGACGGGCACUUGUGCCCGCAUGUGUUUUCCCUUCCUCUGUAUUAAUAGAGCCUCUGAGUUUCCGCUGGACACAUGACCGUUCAAAAUACAAACAUUUCUCGGCUUUCAUCGCGGCCACCCAUGAACGUGUGAUUUAAUUCUUACAAUAGAGACAUAGAAAGGACACCAAAGCUGCUGUGAAUGGCUUUGGCCAUUGCUCAUUAUAACAAUAAGAGAUUAAGAACUGAUAGGAGCUACUGAUGUACUGGUGAUGGCAGGAAAAUAACAGCCAUUAUUACAAGGCAGCUUUUCGGCUUGGACUGCAAAGGGCAGCUUGGUUUGGUACGGAGAUUGCAGAGUGCUGUGUGCUCACUUCCGGUUUCCAGCUUGUAGUUUUGGGGUGAGUGUGCACGUACGGCAUGGGGCAGAAGUGGGUUUCCCGCUGUGAGUACACAAAAUGCAGAGCUCAUUCUUUUAUUAGUAACGCUUGUGUUAUUUCCCAUAAGCACAAGUGUAAACCUACUUUUGUCCCACCCUGUAUUGUAAUAG